CUCUGCUCUUUUGUUCACCUGAAAUCCUCUCUUACACCUUAGUCACGUGAUUAGACCCAUCCUUCUUGUCGGAACUGUCAAACUGGUUAUGCCAUAAACAUAACCAACCACACAACCAGAUAAAGGGAGGUGGGGAGUGGUAGGCGGUGGUGCUGGAGAGUUGGACAAGACAUCCUCUUCAUUCUUUACACAGAUUUUGAGGUUUGAGGUCUUUUUUGUGUUCUUUAACAGUGCUUUCAAUUUGGAUUACGAAGCAUCUUUUGAACUAAGAAAACUAGAGGCAACCCAGGAAGAGGAAUACAAGACCAGGAAUGACAGUAAGCCUCAGAUAUACUGUAGAGAAAAGGAAGAGGAACAAAAUGAUGUACAAAGCAGUUCAUAGAUUUGCUUCAGGCUUCAUGCUGUAGGCUAUGGGAAGACUAUGAUAACCAACGAGUCAUUGAAACUCACUCAUACGACCACACGUUAUCAUUGACUCAGUGAAUAAGGUAAACCGUUUAAUAGUCACUGUGCUCUCUGCCACACAAAAUUAAUAUUGUAAAGACGUAGGUGAUAUAUAGAUAUACAUACAGUAUAUACACAUAUAAAGUCCAGCAGACACACAUACAUUUACACACGGACAAAUACAUAGACUGAAAGAACAUAAAGAACCAACACCCACACAAACUCCCAGAGGCAGCCAUGAGGGUUGUAUUGGUGCUAGGAGGCCUAACUAUCCUGGUCUCUAUGGGCCUGGCGCUGAUCGUCUUUGGCCAGCACCUGACAGAAGCCAAGCUGACCCUGCAGAACCUGCAUCUGGAUCAGAUGCAGCGGACGCGCGUCAACCAACUCAAGGAGAGGCAGUGGCUGGAAAACCUGCUGAAGGGGCAGCUAGACUGGAAGAAGAAGAAUGUGGAGGAGAUGGAGGCAGAGGUGAACAAACUGACCGAAGAGGAGGGGAAGAAGAAGACUGAGGUCGAGGCCUGCCAGGCAGACAAGAAACAAAAGGAGGAAGAACUUGCACCCAUACAGAAGGAGCAGAGUGAUAUUGAAGCGACGUUCAAAACUGAAAAGGAGGCUUGGACUGGGGAGAUCACCACUCUCAAACUGCAGUUGGAGCAGAGUAGCAAAGUGUGUGGUUUUGUAAAGGACUCAACAGAUACAGCGAAAUUAUGUCCACCCAAAGAAGGAGCAGCAAAACCUGAAGCGGCCCCUGUACAAGCUGAAGCGGCCCCUGUAAAAGCUGAAGCGGCCCCUGUACAAGCUGAAGCGGCCCCUGUAAAAGCUGAAGCGGCCCCUGUACAAGCUGAAGCGGCCCCUGUAAAAGCUGAAGCGGCCCCUGUAAAAGCUGAAGCAGCCCCUGUAAAAGCUGAAGCAGCCCCUGUAAAAGCUGAAGAGGCCGCUGUACAAGGUGAACCUGCAUCUGUAAAAGCUGAAGCAGCCCCUGUAAAAGCCGAAGAGGUCCCUGCACAAGCUGAAGCGGCCCCUGCUCCAAAGCAGUAAACGUCUCCAAAGAUACGGUGACAUUAUGCAUCACAAUAGUAAUUAUAUUACUAUUCAUUCGUGAUGCUCACUCAUAUUUAUGUUGUUUGUUUGUGGGUAAUCUUGUGGGUAAUCUUGUGGGUAAUCUUGGCAACCCAAUGUAAAUUACACCAUUUAUGUUAUAUAGUCUGUCCACAAGAGAUUAGGCUGUGGGCAUUGUCAAUGUGUCAGUUUGGCACACUAUGUCAAUGUGCCUAAAGUAAUUAGGUGCUGUUCGUUUUCAAAAACGUUUAAUAUCUUAUCAGUUUUUAAAUAAACGUUUUUUGUUUUUAAUUUCCAUUUUUAUAAAGCCUUUUAGUUAGGCACAGAAAACACGGAAAGAGAAAACACUGCUUUUCCCUGUUGGUGGUUCAUGUGAUGAAGAGGGUGGAACUCCUAUCAAACCUGCACAGUUCAAUACCAAUAUAACUUAGACCAUUAAAGUUUUAAUGUAGCUUACCUUAUCAUCAUCAUCAUUGACUGCCAGGGUAAAACAUAAUAUUGUAAAGCUGUUGGGUGUAAUCUGCCAGGUUAAAAUGGAGCCAGCUGGUGGAUGAGUAAUAUGUAAACAUAGGGUGACAGUGAGCAGCGAGCAAAAUGACCAUAGACGAGAUGUUGACAAUGGCUUAUUAAUAGGCAUAAAUACAUAGUAUUUCUAUGAUUGCAGUCCUCAAAGAUUGAAUUGCAAUGAAUCAAAUGAAUCAGAUUCAAUGGUUUACCGCCCAUAGGGCGGGUGCAGUUUUUUUGUGCUUUGGAAUGUUCGGUAUUCCUGGGAUACCAUGCUGUCACCAUGUAAAUUAUAUAAAAACAUUUAUAAAACGGGUUGUUUGGAUCCUGGAUGCUGACUGGUUGAUAGAAGGGAGUUAUAGCACAACAAUCCCCGCAUUCACCGGGUAAUGCCUGUUAACAGUUCCAUUUGAUUUAUCAAUGCGCAUCCACUAUCCACUAGCCUGGCUGACGUGACUCACGGUACCACACAGCACGGUACCACACAGCAGACUCACUGGUCUGGAAAGGAGGCCGUUUAUUACAGUUUUUCUCCAUUGGUUUGGCUCAUUUCUUGAAACAGAAAUUACAUUCUCAAAACUCUAAGAUCAUUUGGCAAAACAGUCUUACAGUUCAGCACAACACUAUAGCUCACUUGCAAAAGCUCAUAUCUCUCCUAAAACUGUUCACUCAUGCUUCAAAACUAAAUUCCUUUCCCAUAUAAAGAGUCAGUGCCACGAAAAUGGCAAAGAUCCUUCUCAAUUGCUUUGGCUAAUUUCUUGAAACAGACCGGACGUUUUCAACACUCUUGGUGCUUUAACCAAAACUAAAUUUCCUUCUCAUUUAAACAGUCAGUGCCCCCAAAAUGCUUCGUCCCUUUGGCAUUGUGUAAGCACUGCAAGUCAAAAUGUUUAGAUGUUUUGUCACUAUGGCAGAGGACCAUUGAAAUAUCCCUCAUGUCCACCUUUCAGUCUUAGCCCAGUCCUUCAUUGACAAUGGUUACUGUACUGUUUUUUGUCCAGCUAACAGAAUACAAUUGUGUAUAAAACUGAAAAAAAGAAAUAGGAUUUUAGGGUAAGAGUAGCCUCCAAGGUUUGACAUCACACAUUGCACUCAUACUGCCAAGGAAAUUGUAACCAUUAUCAUUCACACACAUAAAGUAACUUCCAUACAUCAGAGUAAAAAGAAAAUGUAUACAGCAUAAUAUACUGUAAUAUAAACACACAAACAAAAAACAAUGAAAAUUAUAUGCAGCCUACAGUGCUGUAAAUAAAGCUGGAGUUUCACAACUAACAGUUCUUCACUGGUCGCUGUCCUCACCCUCCUGGCCAUCCACACGCUGCUGUCUGUCUGGCCACAGAUUCUCGUCCACAUCACAGCGUAUAUGCUCCCUUGCGAUGCAACGAGGGAAGAAACGGCGUGCAUGUCGCAACCAUCCCCUACACUGAUCUCCUGUAAUAUCCUCACACGCAGCGUCCAUUGCAUGGAGCAGGGACCUCUGAUCUUGAGCCCGAUGCUCAUACACUCUCCACCUCCAAGCAGAGAAAUACUCCUCAAUAGGAUUGAGGAAAGGAGAGUAAGGUGGUAGGAACACCAUGACCAUCCUUGGAUGAGUAGUGAACCAGGCCCUGAUGAGCGGGCCACGGUGGAAAUUCACAUUGUCCCAUACAAUGACAUAUUGUGGUAGGUGAGGCCUUACGAGACCUCUCUCAUUUUCAGGGAUCAAAUCAAAAUGAAGGCGGUCCAAGAAGAUGAGGAGCUUCUGUGUAUUGUAUGGGCCAAGACUGGUGAUGUGAGUGGCCACACCAUUCUCAGAUAUGGCAGCACACAUAGUUAUAUUGCCCCCUCGCUGGCCUGGGACAUCCACCGUGGCCCGGUGGCCAAUAAUAUUACGGCCACGUCUUCGGCCCUUGGCCAGGUUGAAGCCAGCUUCAUCCACAAACACGAGGAUGUGAUGGGUCUCGUGCUCCUCGGCCUCUUCCCCCUAUUCCACCACCACGCACCCUUACUCCUCCUCCUCCUCUUCUUCUUCUUCCUCUUCCUCUUCCUCGAGCAGGCAGUUGCCCUUGUUCAUUUACUUGGCCAGGUGCCUCCAUGUUCAGAAAUUGUACUGGUCCUGCAUGGUCAAGCUCUUUACAUACAUGUUUGGCAGCAUUCACAGUCAUGGACAGCACCUGUCAGGUAACUAAUCAUACUGUUUGAUUGGUCAUCUGAGAUGUGUGAAACUCCUCCUUCGUUAGUCAAGUUCUAGUUUCACCUGACUGUCAAUUGCUGUAAUAAAUGUAUCAAAUGUUCCAAGGGAUUCAUAUAUGGUAUUCAUGGUAUUAUGUUCUUGACUAAUUUUGACAAUUGAACAGACUAUUGUGCAUGUGAUGACUUAUACAAUGAAAUGACGCUGACACGUUUUGGAGAGAACAACCAUUAGACUGAGAAUCAGCAAUCAGUUUAGAUCGAUAAGAUCUAUUCACUUGGAAAUUGUGCUAAAUGUAGGCUACAUGUACUUAAUCAUUUGCAAAGAUGUACUGAGACAUUGAGACAUGUACUUAGACAUUUGCAAUUUGAUGAAAUGAAUGAGAAAUUCAAUUCUGUUGUGAACAAUUGCCAAGUGGUUUGGAGGUUUGUCCAUGUAGUUUUGAGAAUGUAAUUUCUGUUUCAAGAAAUGAGCCAAACCAAUGGAGAAAAACUGUAAUGCAAUAUUCACUCAGAAAUUGAGCAGACGGAUUGAUUGGUUGAGACCUCUCAUUGUUUGGAUUUGAAAAUCCAACAUUUGUAAUGGAAGGGGGCGGUGCUCAGGGGCUUUGUGUGGCUGUGCCUGUAGGUGUUUGAGUGAGACAACAUCAAAACAGCCUUUCCAGACUCUAAAGUCAGGAGGACUUCGAGUUUGGUAUCAGCCAGACUACUGUCCCACAACCCAGCCAGUCAAUUUAUAUUAUAGCCUUAACUUCAUCUCCCCUGUUAAAAAGUAUCUAAACCAUUUUCCCCCAUGCUAUUAGGUUAGCAUUUCGUUUACAACAGUUAGGGUUUGUCUAAACCUUGCUGUCUGCUUCUCUGACCUGUGGAAGUUUUUUUGCGAUCUCCUCCGUACCAUGCAUAUGAACGUGACGUGACUGACAGUUUCUCUGAGCCAGGCAAAUUAAUUUAUCAGGAUCAUUAUAAUGGAUAUAUCCAAAGAAAUGGCAAAAGAAACAAACAAAUGUAAAACAAAGGAAAGUACACAUAGUUGCUGUCAUUUCAGCUGCUUUCUUUAGUUUGCUAGAGGAAAGGAGAAGUACAGUAGCUAGCCUGGAGCUACAUGGCAAUGAUUUGUUUAGCAUAGCAAUCAUUGCAAAAAUAAUGGAUAGAAUGAACGACCAGCCUAUUUGGCUAGCAACUUAAGACCUCAUAAUUAUUUAAAAAAUGUUUGCAUUUUAUCGCACCUACAGUAUGGCUUUUAUGAUCACAGGACAUUCCCCACUAAAUACACCCACACUCCUAUUCAAAUAGUCAUCUCUACUACUCAGCUGUCGUUGUCUUUUACCUUUCCUGAGGAAAUGCAGUAGAUAUUUAAUGAAGUGGGAAUGAGAUAUUGGACUUUGAUUCAUCACUGCCAAUGAUGUGCUUGAUGUUGUAUUUCCAUCACAGUAACGAUGAUGCACUGGGGACUCUGAUCAUGAUGUGUAAUUAAUUAAUGUAAAGGUUUUUCAGUUUGCUUUACUUCUUCGUCCAUAAGCUUUUUGAGGCUUAUAGGACUUCAGCAAAAUGAAUACUUUUUUUAUUCUUACUUUUUCAAGAAUUGUCUGUUCAAAAACAUACUGAAAAAUUGUUUGGAGUUUUGGAAUGGCAUCAUAUUUCAUGGCCAUUCUGUAGUACUUGUCAUGGAGUUGUUUGUGAUCACUGCUUGUUUAGCCUGUCACACUGUUGCCGUCGUGAGUAUUGUUUUGUUUGGUUUUCCAGUGGAUACUUUACUUGUUUUUUUUCAUCAAUAAACAUGAGUAUCCACAUUCCCGCUGCGCCUUGGUC
rnacentral:lncRNA from 1 species